rnacentral:lncRNA from 1 species
CAGCACAGUUCCCAGGGUCCCCAAACCAUGAUCUAGCCCGCAUCUAGCACUCACCUCUUCUUUCCAUCGCCUCCCAAUAACGACAUGGAAUUGUGAUCUUGCCGGUGAAUUGAUCCACUAAGCAAGUUAGAAGCUUCGUGACCCAGUCAUUUCCCCGACCCAGUCUUCAAUUCAAUGAGCAUUUUUUUUGGGGGUGACAUUUUCAACCUCAGCCACGACAGCACAUGAAGCAAGAAGAAGCCCUCGUCUACUGAGGGUGGCUGGGCUGAGGACCUGCGGUAGAGGCUGAGCAAGGGCUAUGAAGGGAAAGGAAGAAGCCUGGUAGGGACCAGUACGAGUUGGUACGCAGCUUACUUUCUAGUUACACAUUUAACAGAUUCUAGCUACUCCAGACAUUUGUGUGUACAACUGCAAGGCAAGAGAGCAUUUUGACUGAGAGGAGUAGGCAUUAAGGCUGUGUUCAGUGUUUUCACCAAGAUGGCAUCAAAGGCAAAGAAGGAAGCUCCUGCCUCUCCCAAGGCUGAAGCCAAAGCAAAAGCUUUGAAGGCCAAGAAGGCAGGCGGAAAGGCACGUCACCACUCUCCAGUGUCCCAAGACACUGCGGCUCUGGAGACAGCCUGAGCACCCUUGGACAAGGGUCCCCCAGCCUGCUAAUCCCUAUUCUCCUGCAAGCAUCAAAGUCUCGUACGGGAAAUGUAUGCUAUUGUUUUAAGCUCGAGAUUCACCUGUCACCUCUCUUGAGGGGAAGAUGACAACCAAAGUUGCCAAAGUCAGUACCAGAUCAGGCCCGACGGAGUGAAGAAGGCGUAGAUUCCACUGGCUCCUGAUGACGAUGCUUUGGAUGUUGCCAUAAAAAAUGUGAUCAUCUAAAUUGAGUCCAGCUGGCUAAUGUUGCCAUUGGAGGUUGUCAAAGACCCUUGGAUCUUCCAGGUGACCUGAAGCACAGUUUUGGAUCUCUCAUUUUGCUCUGAUCUGCUAUCUGUAACUCAGUGGCCAGCUCUGUGUCAUCUUCCCCUCAAGAGAGGUGACAGGUGAAUCUCGAGCUUAAAACAAUAGCAUACAUUUCCCGUACAAGACUUUGUUGCUAAUAGAGCUAGACAAUCUGGCCUGAGGCAAAAUAGACGUGCA